UCUUAAGAAAUCAAUAGAUGAUGAACUGUAAAUUCAUUCCAGAAAUUAGCUCUUUUAGCC
rnacentral:tRNA from 1 species